UUUAAGUUCCUGUUCUAUACAUUUUUGUAGCCUUCUCAGUAUCUAUUCCAGUGCUGGUGCGUAUGCUAGGUGUUUCAUAAAUGUUUUAUUGAAUUUUUGAAUUUGCUAUUACAAGAAUUAUAAUCAGGUAAGCAUGAUUUUUUUCCAAUUUUGCCCUCAGUAGUCCCAUGCUCUUCACUUGAACUUUCCAUUGCUUUUAACAGUGUGGUAUCUCCUCUGGGAUUCCCAGGGUCUCCUUUUGAUGGAAUCUGUAGGCUGCCCAUUUCCUGGUGUAGGGGCCAUGAAUGAUUGCUUGUAUAUUCUCACCAGUGCUUUUCUUUAUUCCCUUUUGGUUUCAUCUUGUGAAGUAAAUCUAGUAAACCCCUAUAAACACAUCACCAUGUUUGCUUCAAAGGUAAUUUGGAAAUGGGGAUAGACAUCUUCAGGAAAGACAGGCAAAGGAUUUAUUAAGCUUCUUGUUUCUUUUAUUCCUGAAAGUAUCUCUUUUUUUUGCAGAGAGAUUGCUAAAUGUUUCCAUGUCUCUUGCAAGGAACAAAAAUCCUCUCAGAAUAGGUCAAAUGACAAUUUGGAUUGUUCUAGUUAAACAGGCAGCAUCACAGCCAUUCGUGGACAGGAAGCAUAAUGUAGCCAGAACCGACCAGAGCCAGGACAGGAAGGAUCCAUUGUUUAUUUUGUCAAGUGAGAAAGACCACAAACAGGCAGAUGUCCAAGCCACCAUGAUUCGAAGCAAACUGAGAAAAGUUCCCAGGUUUAGAGCCAUGUUCAGUAACCUGAUCCAUUAUCCAAGAUAUUCUGUAUAUUGGAGCAAGGCAGAUCCCGUCCCAGCAUUCGUCCGUCGGGAGUGGAAGGGACAGGAGGAGAAACACAGAGAAGCCCUCCAGCAGCUUGCCACAACUGACACUUCUUUUCAGAUGCCUAAAGAGGUUUAUGAAGAUCCUGAAGUUACUGGAAGGAAUCGUUAUAAAUAUUUUGAAAGGCCUUUCCUUCCAUUUUUGGAGCAGAUGCCACUGAAUGUUGUUUUUGAAACAACCAAGAUAGAGGCAUAUACUUUUCCUCCUGCUUCUCCUGAUUACCCGCCCAGCCCUUCAAAGUGCACUGUGGGCACUCAGACAGCUUAUCGGGAUGCCGAAGUUCAGACGGAUCCGUAUUCCCCAGAGUACGUGGUAUGUCAGGACUCGAUCCCUGAGCUCCUGACCCUGGCCACUCUUACUUGGGGUCGCGGUCUCCCGGCAGGACAAGCCGAGGUGGAGAUGAUAGAACGUGCCCGGGAGAAGCGCGCUUGGGAGGCCACUCUGCCCCCUCUGAGUGACACCGCCCAGUUUGAGAAGAGGAGGAGGAUGAUGAACGUGAUGGAGAGGAAGGAGUGGGCCUUCAGAGAGCAGGAGAUUGAAAAAUUGCAGGAGAUUCGCCUAGAAGUUCUAAAACAGCUGUUGAAAAAGCGUGAUGAGAAUCAAAAUGAAGUGAACACGAAGCACUUGAACGCCCAGUGGUCUAAACUGCAGGAAGCAAAGGAGGCAAAGCUGGCACAAAUUCAGCGUGCACACGUGUCAGCAAUCAGAAAACUUAUGGGAAAGGGAAAGAAUAUAGAAGGAAAGUUGGAGAGAAGAAAUAUCAUCAAGGAUUAUUCUGAUUAUGCAUCACAGGUCUAUGGACCUCUGUCACGCCUUGGUCGUUUCCCAGACAACAACUCAGAGGACUUUGUAGUAAAAAACCUCUAUCUCAACACCUAUGAAGGAUUAGUCGAACUUGAGUCAUGUCUCCCGGAUUUUGUGACUCAACCCCGCAUCAGACCUCCAAAACCCAAAGUCACUACCACCAAAGCUGGCUUUCUAAAGAGGGUAGCAAGGAUGGACCAUGAGCUGGCAGAAGUUCAUAAGGUACUGUUGGAGAAGAAGAAUAAGGUUCUUGAACCAAAGAAACCUCCGCGCUUUCUUCAAAGAAAGCUAAUUCCCCAACCUCGGCUCCCAACUCCAACCUUGGAAAUGGGCUCCAAUGAAGAAGAGGAUAUAGAAAUGGCUGUGAUCUACCUGCAAAAGUUACUCCGAGGCAGAGUCGUUCAGAACAUGAUGUUUGAAGGGAAAGAAAAGCGACUGGAGUUGAUCCAGGAGCUGCGCACGAGCCACGCACUACAGGAAGAUGACAGGCUGGUGAAGAAAGCCGAGAAGCAAGUCACCCUGGCCUUGCAACGCCAGAGGAACUUGCAUGAGCACAAGGUGUCACUGGUGGAAAACCAUUUGGCUGGACUGGAAGGAAGGGUGCUGGCAGACAUGUUUGACUUCCUGUCCAAAGAGCUGGUGAGACUACAGGAAGAGAGGAGGAUCCAUGCCUUCGCCAUGCUGGCCGAGCGACAGCGGAGGAUGCGGGAAGCCGAAGAGAGUGGUCGGCGCCAGGUGGAGCAAAGGCGCCUGCGGGAGGAGGACCAGAUAUUUAAGGAGGUUCUUAAAGUUCACCAAAGUACUGUAACUUCCUAUCUGGAAGACAUAAUACUGAACACCGAAGAGAACACUGCAGAAGAACAAGCCAGGGCAGAAAUUGAGAAGGUGGCUAAGGAAAUUAAUGACAUUGCUUAUGAAAUGGAGAGCCGUCGAACUCAGCUCCAGUCAGAGGAGAUUGUCGCAGAGUUGGUUUAUAGUUUCUUGAUCCCAGAGGUGCAAAAGAACUUUGUCAAAGAAAAAGACUUUCAGAGUAAAAUUCCUCCGUCUCUUCGGCACAGUGAGGAACGCUCAGCGGAAGCACGUUCUUGCAGCCCAUCAGGUCAUCCACAGGCAGACGGAAGCCAUGCUCAGACAGAAUUUUGCUGAGCAAAAGCAAGAUGAGGUCCCAGACACUGACAAUUUACCUGAGGAGGGACAAUUUAGAGAGGAAGAAACUCAAAAUGAGGAAAACAGCUAAGAUUAUGAUCUUUUUUAAAGGAAGAUCUACAAAUCAUCGUAAAGGAUCCAGUAGUCUGUGCUUCUCCCAAGAUGGGCAGCUCUUAAGGACUUGUCAGUGUGAUUCAUGAGGAAAGAGGUUUAUUUCCCUUAAAUUCCCACUAACUUAAAAUGAUUUUCAGGAAUAAUAAUCAAAUGAAGGAGCUUUAUUUUCUUUGGUGUUUCCUAGACGCUCUACUUCAAGAGAAAAUUUUUUCAUGUAUCAUUUCAACAUUUUGUUAACUAUGAGGACAUCCUGGCUUGUUGAAUCAAACAAAAAGAAAUGUUAUUGAAUA